GGUGAACGCUGGCGGCAGGCUUAACACAUGCAAGUCGAACGGUGUAGCAAUACACAGUGGCAGACGGGUGAGGAACACGUGGGAACAUCCCUUUCGGUUCGGAAUAACGUUGGGAAACUAACGCUAAUACCGGAUACGUCCUUCGGGAGAAAGAUUAUUGCCGAGAGAUUGGCCCGCGUCUGAUUAGCUAGUUGGUGAGGUAACGGCUCACCAAGGCUACGAUCAGUAGCUGAUCUGAGAGGAUGAUCAGCCAUAUUGGGACUGAGACACGGCCCAAACUCCUACGUGAGGCAGCAGUGGGGAAUAUUGGACAAUGGGCGCAAGCCUGAUCCAGCCAUGCCGCGUGAGUGAUGAAGGCCUUCGGGUUGUAAAGCUCUUUUAUCCGGGAAGAUAAUGACUGUACCGGAAGAAUAAGCCCCGGCAAACUUCGUGCCAGCCGCCGCCGUAA
rnacentral:rRNA from 1 species